rnacentral:rRNA from 1 species
UACUACCGAAGCUACGGCAUCAGUAAUGAUGGGUAGGGGAGCUUCCCAUACGGGUUGAAGCAUGACCGUAAGGACAUGUGGACAGUAUGGGAGUGAGAAUGUUGGCAUGAGUAGCGAGAUGUGGGUGGGAAUCCCACAGGCCGUAAACCCAAGGUUUCCAGGGGAAGGUUCGUCCGCCCUGGGUUAGUCGGGACCUCAGCUGAGGCCGCAAGGCGUAGGUGAUGGACAACCGGUUGAUAUUCCUGUACUACCGAUAACCGUUUGCGGGAAGGGAUGACACAGUAGGAUAAGCUAAGCACACUGUUGGUUAUGUGUGCCCAAGCAUUGAGGCAGGCAAAGUAGGCAAAUCCGCUUUGAUAAUGCUGGGGUGUGAUGGGGAGCGAAAUUUAGUAGCGAAGUAGCUGAUUUCACACUGUCAAGAAAAGUCUCUAUCGAGGUUAAAGGUACCCGUACCGCAAACCGACACAGGUGGGUGAGGAGAGUAUCCUAAGGCCAGCGAGAGAACUGUUGUUAAGGAACUCGGCAAAAUGACCCCGUAACUUAGGGAUAAGGGGUGCCACCAUCAGGUGGCCGCAGAGAAUAGGCCCAAGCGACUGUUUACCAAAAACAUAGGUUUCUGCUAAGUCGCAAGACGAUGUAUAGGAGCUGACGCCUGCCCGGUGCUGGAAGGUUAAGGGGAUCUGUUAGAGCAAUCGAAGCAGUGAACUUAAGCCCCAGUAAACGGCGGCCGUAACUAUAACGGUCCUAAGGUAGCGAAAUUCCUUGUCGGGUAAGUUCCGACCCGCACGAAAGGCGUAACGAUUUGGGCACUGUCUCA